UUGGAGGGCAAGUCUGGUGCCAGCAGCCGCGGUAAUUCCAGCUCCAAUAGCGUAUAUUAAAGUUGUUGCAGUUAAAAAGCUCGUAGUUGAAUUUCGGGGUUAAUAAGUUGGUCGUGCCAAUGGUAUGUACUGGCUUUAUUGAUUCCUACCUCUUGAAGAACUGUGAUGCCAUUAAUUUGGUGUUGCAGGGAAUCAGGACUGUUACCUUGAAAAAAUUAGAGUGUUUAAAGCAGGCUUACGCUUGAAUACAUUAGCAUGGAAUAAUGAAAUAGGACGUUUGAACCUAUUUUGUUGGUUUCUAGGAUCGACGUAAUGAUUAAUAGGGAUAGUUGGGGGCAUUAGUAUUCAAUUGUCAGAGGUGAAAUUCUUGGAUUUAUUGAAGACUAACUACUGCGAAAGCAUUUGCCAAGGAUGUUUUCAUUAAUCAAGAACGAAAGUUAGGGGAUCGAAGACGAUCAGAUACCGUCGUAGUCUUAACCAUAAACUAUGCCGACUAGGGAUCGGAUGAUGUUAAUUUUUUAAUGACUCAUUCGGCGCCUUACGGGAAACCAAAGUGUUUGGGUUC
rnacentral:rRNA from 1 species